CCUCUCUCUCUCUCUCUCUCUCUCUCUCUCUCUCUUCUUUCAUUUUCGGACACUUCCCCUCUCUUUCUUUCCGCAGCCCCUUCCCCCUCCCAAUCUCUCACUCUUCGACAUGGCUUGCGCUCGAAGAAGCCUCACCUCCAACUUCACCCAACACCUCUCUCGCCGCCUCAUCAACCCUUCCUUCUCCCACCUCCUCCACGAUGAUCGCGACGCCUCCCCCGAACCCCACCCCGCUCCUCCGCCCCCUCCGCCUCCGCGAAACCCUAAAACCCACGCCCGAUCCCUCAACGGCUUCGGCCCCUUUCUCCCUCGCGAUCCGAGAAGCAGCCGCGUCGGAUUCUACACCCCCCUCGGCGUCGAUCCCUUCCUCCGAAGCUAUUCCUCCGCCCCCGAGGGAUCG
rnacentral:lncRNA from 1 species